rnacentral:rRNA from 1 species
UGAGGAAUAUUGGUCAAUGGGCGCAAGCCUGAACCAGCCAAGUAGCGUGAGGGAAGACUGCCCUACGGGUUGUAAACCUCUUUUGUUUGGGAAUAAAGUGCGGGACGUGUCCCGCAUUGCAUGUACCAUUUGAAUAAGGACCGGCUAAUUCCGUGCCAGCAGCCGCGGUAAUACGGAAGGUCCGGGCGUUAUCCGGAUUUAUUGGGUUUAAAGGGAGCGCAGGCCGUGGGUUAAGCGUGUCGUGAAAUUCCGUCGCUCAGCGGCGGACGUGCGGCGCGAAAGCGUGGGUAGCAAACAGGAUUAGAUACCCUGGUAGU